GACGGAGGAUGCAAGCGUUAUCCGGAAUUAUUGGGCGUAAAGCGUCUGCAGGUGGCCGUUCAAGUCUGCUGUCAAAGCCCGGGGCUUAACUUCGGAAAGGCAGUGGAAACUGAACAGCUAGAGUAUGGUAGGGGCAGAGGGAAUUCCUGGUGUAGCGGUGAAAUGCGUAGAGAUCAGGAAGAACAUCGGUGGCGAAGGCGCUCUGCUGGACCAUAACUGACACUCAGGGACGAAAGCUAGGGGAGCGAAUGGG
rnacentral:rRNA from 1 species